CCCAUCUGCAUUUGAAUUAACAAAAAAAGUUACAUAAUUUUGUUUACUCUAUACUUGUAAGAUCUCCAGUUCCACGGAUAUUUGUACUACUACACUUUGAACUGAUGGAAAAUUACAGAGUCCUACUUCCAGAAGAUAGGAGUGAGAUGCGAUGGGACCUGACCAGAUGCUGAUGUUGGACUAGAAAAUUUAGUGAAAAACUAUUCUGUGCUGAAAGAACAGCUAUGCUUUGUCGGACUAGCACAACACGAGCGAUGGACUUGAAGGAUUUCAGUCAAUCAAGCUAGUUGUCGAAAAGGUAGUGUUCGCCGUCGACGGUGCUGCCAUUUGAGUUUAUGGCUCUGUCCAUGGAGGCUGCCUGGAAGUUUCUCUGUUUCCAUGUACGGUGUCGGUGUUCCAUGACAGCGGCCGUGACACGUGAUGUUCCUUGGUUAAGAUUGGUUUACUUUGGGUCUCACAUUAGGAGGACAGACACGGCGUGCAUUCAGUCUCAGAACCUGAAACUAACCUGACUGAGGCACAAGGAAGGAAGGGCCACCGUCCGAGGCGAUGCGUACAUAUAUACACCCAGGAGUCAGGACAGGACACAACAUCCGACACGGCGUAUGUACUACACUGAGGACUCCCUCGUCACUGACAAAGACAAGAAAACCGGCAGCAUCCUCAGCCAGGUAGGUGUAAACCACACAGACGCUUACAACCAAAGCUAGCCGACGGCGCAUAAGCUACCUGCAAAAGAGAAGCCCUUCUUACAUCGACACCAUCUUAAUUUUUAUUCAGUUCAAUUUCCAAUUUUACUUCAGUUAAUUCUUAUUUUUAGUUUAGUCAGUUUCUUAUUUUAUUUUCCUUCAAUUUCUAAUUCUUUUUCAGUUCAGUUUCUAAUUUUACUAAAGUUCAUUUUCUAAUUCCAAACAGUUUGUGUAAAUUCCCAUCGAGCAGGUGUGCACGGCGAGCGGCUACUGAACUUGUGCGGCUGCUGCUUUUGGAUUGCCUAGGAAGCACAUCAUUAUAGAAGGCAAAAAUCUGUAACCUAUAUAAUUCAUGUGUGUUCUGACUUCUUGUUUCUCUAAAGCGGCCAAAUCCCGGUGCACCUGGUAGCUCAAACUUACACCAGAUGGCCAGUGACCAACUUCCCUGCCUCUACAAGCUCCUGGGGAUGACUUGGUGGUAGCUGGGAUCCCCUAAAGCGGCCAAAUCCCGGUGCACCUGGGCGCCGCUCGUGAUCCCCUCUCCUUCAGCUCCACUUCGCGUCGUCGUCAGUCCACAGGAGUAGGGGCGGUGUGCCCAUCAACAAAAAAGAACAGAAGGUCAUCGAAGCGGCCGCCAGCUCUCCCGCGUGAUGCAGCAACUGAUGUUGUUCUCUUUCUCAUACAUGCGCUUGUGCAGCAGCAACCAUGACUCACUCACUCUCUCUCAUUUGCGCAUGUGACAUCUCACUCAUGUGUUGCAGCUCCUGGUUGGGCUCCUGGAUCGGUGUCUAUGUUGUGUGUGUGCAGUUCGACGUGAUUUGAUUGGACAGGAAGGGAGAAGCAACAGGGAGAGUACGGGUUGGCUGAUGAUGGCUGAUGACGAACCUGCUGCUGUCUUGCUCUAUAAUGGUCUCUGAUCCAAUGUAUUUUAAUUUCUCUGCGGUGUAGCUUGCUAUAAAAGAUGAAAUAUAAGAGUUCAUUGUGCAAAAACUUGUGGGAUCCAUGUAAGGUGAACGAGAAAGUAUAGUUAAAAAGUUUGAUAUUUUUUUAUUGA